rnacentral:rRNA from 1 species
GAUGAACGCUAGCUACAGGCUUAACACAUGCAAGUCGAGGGACCGGCGCACGGGAGAGUAACACGUAUCCAACCUGCCCUUUACUCGGGGAAAGCCUUUCGAAAGAAAGAUUAAUAACCGAUGGAAAGGAGGGGGAUGCGUUCCAUUAGGUUGUUGGUGAGGUAACUGCUCACCAAGCGUUCGAAGGAUAGGGGUUCUGAGAGGAAGUGCACCCACAUUGGAACUGAGCCACGGUCCAACCUCCUACCGGAGGCAGCAGUGAGGUAUAUUGGUCAAUGGGCUUUAGCCUGAACCAUCCAAUUAGCGUGAAGGAUGAAGGCUUAUGGGUCGUAAACUUCUUUUAGAUAAGAAUAUGUAUUAUAUUAGUAAGGCUCGGCUAACUCCGUGCCAGCAGCCGCGGUAAUUC